GGCAGUAAGUCACUGUUGAUAAGUGAGUCAUUGCGAUUGAACCGAAUCAUUUAAACGAUCAUUUGAUUCAUUCAGGAACGAAACACCGUCAUGUUGCUCAGAGACGCAAAACAGUGCUGUGGCUGUGUUUGGAAUGAUUUUUUUUGGGGGUUGUUGGCGAAAUAAAGCAAAAACAGGCAAUAUGGUGUCUAAAACGCAAGUCUCUUAAUAUUAACUAAUUGUUUAUUGAACGGUUGUAUAAAAUCAAUAUCACAUUUGUAAUCAUGCUUAUUUUUGAAGAAAAUAAGAAAAUAUAUCGGCACUCUUCGUGUGAUAUUAACUAGACUAUAUGAAAUGAGAUAUAUAUAUAUAUACACACACAUUUUCUGCUCCAUAUCUUGAAUUUUGUGAUCAUUCUUAGUGCAUUUUAUUAGACUGAAUCAUGCAGUGAAAGAACGCACUCUAAAUGCGCGCGCGCUGUAGUCUAGACUUCAUCACGUAAUGUAAGCGUGCACUCCGCAGGAUUUUGCACGCUUACAUUUUUGUUUGGAUUUUGCAAAAUACUCAAAUUACAUAUCCUUAAAAUAACAAUUACGAUAUUAUCGCAGACGAUAUAUAUAUCGCACACCCCUAGCUACACUCCUACCUUAAAUUAAACAAAUUCUUUUGCCAACAAAACUUUGGUCAAACUUAUUUAAUUUAUGUAAUGGAGAAAUCUAAUACACUGGCGAGCUACUUAAUGAGUGCGCAGCAAGCAUAAUCGUAUUAACAUAGGUGGCGUAUGCCGAUUUUCAUCAGAAUAUACAGGCAUGCAAACACCUUAAUCGCAGUAUUGCCGCUCUGACCAAAGUGCGCUCGUGAUGUUCAUGAAUGACGUGACACGCACCUGUAAUAAUACACAGAUUAGAAACGAUCUGAAGGCAUCGCAUUUCUGGGGAAAACACAACCAAAGAGUAUAGAAGACCAAGAGGUGAAACUCUGAUGCUUUUUGGGUAACAGCCACUAGCACUGCAUGAAAAGACUAAUUUACGGGAUAAAUCGGACAAUUGAAAUGUCAGUGAAACUUAAGGUGUACGACCCGUGCACUAAAAUUUCCCAGGCUGAGUGUGCCGAGUCCCGUACACGUCUAUACACUUGAGAUGCACUGAGAUUUUCGGAUACGGGAUAUUUCUGAUUGCACACACUAGACGUGUUCAGAGAUUUCCAGUAUACCAGCCCUUAUAAAUAACCCAUGGUUUUAUUAUAGUAAGAGUGUAUUUACCUUUUUCUGGCAGAUUGAUUGCCAUUUGUAUAUUUAUAUAACCAUAGUUUUACUACAAAUACACAUUCAAUAACCAAGGUUUUUUUUUUUUUUUUUUUAUGUACCACGGUUAAUUGUCAUAAGGAGCAAGAGCUGUUGUGUUUUUUGGGGUGUUUAUCGGUUACAAAUGAAUCAACCAGUCAUUUUUAAAUCUGUAGGCAAGUUAAUCCGAAUUGAAUUAAAAUUAAAUUAAUUUAAUUAAUUUGUCUUUUGAUUAACAGAAUGGCACAAUUUGAGUGAGAUUAAUAAAAAUCCACACAUUCGCGGGUAGUGUUGUAAUCUCUGGGUUUGUUAGUUUGUUAAUCGAGGUAAUGAACACAGUAAUAUCACGCACGGACAUUUCACGCCUCGUAUUUGGAGCUGAAUCACCCGAGACUCGCAAUUCUUGACGCCCGUGAAUCGAAUCUUUUUGGAAUCGACUCCUCCGAGCAUCAUUGUUCUUACCCCUCCCCCGCUGCCUCUAGCUGCGGUUUUUGCGCGCGCGUGCGCUGACAGCGUUCGGUAUUUUAUCAGAGAUUUACCUCAGACGGUAAGCAUGACGUUGUUUCGAGCAGUUUGUUCCCGCUUCAGCUGCUGAUUUUCUGAGAGAUUUACCUCAGACGAAGCCCGGUGCUGUUUGGAGCCGUUUGUUCCCGCUUCAGAGACCUUCAGUCAGCGAGGUGACAGCCGUCCAGUGUUUUCAGAGAGAUUUAUGUCAGAAGAAAGUAAGAGAGAAUUUACAGAAACGUUUUAAAUAGUCUAUUUACCAAAACAUAAUAUUAAGUGUUUUAAUGUAUAACGUUAUAUUUGAGUGGGUUUAUGUUCUAAAAUUAGUCUAGCUAUCAUGGUAAGCUGCUAAGUUAACUGGUAACUUACUUAGCAACUGCUACGUGAAUUUUAAAAAGUUAAAAAAGUUAGCUAUUAGUAAAAUGUACAUAUGUAUUGAUUAAUGUUAGUUUAGCUAGCGUGCUUUAGUUGUUAACAUAUUCCCCUUUGACAAAUCUGCACACAUUCUCCUGAACUGUUUUCAGAGGCUCCAAACACUGCAGCUGACUGGAGAAAUGGUGCAGUUUGCUAUCUGGGCCACCAUCAAGUGUUUGUAAUAACUUCCUUUUACGAUCACGUGUGGAAUUUGGUCGUUUACUGUUGUUAAAAUAUGCUAUUCAUAGCCUUUUAUAUCGCUGCACAAAUUAGCAUUUCAGAUGUACACAUUCAUUCAAGAAAAUCACAUACAAAUAUCCUAUUGUAAUCGUGUGUUUAUUAUCUUAUAUAAUCUAUAGUGGCUGUUGUCAUGUUUAUUUCUGCUGUGUAAAAGCCUUAACAUGUAUGCUCUGCUGAAACUAACAUUGUUUGAUGUUACAACCGCCUCUCCGUUCUCGCCAGGGAUACACUCCAAGUAUAAUACACAUUAGAAAAAGGAUCUUUUUUAAUUUUCACUUGUCUACACUUUGGGCGGCCGUGGUACAUUAUAAAAUUAGCCCCAAAAACCGCAACCCACGACUCUAUAAUUUUUCCCGCGACUGAAUUUUCAAAAUAGCCCAUUUGUGCCGUUACCCUGGCAACACUGGUGCUGUCCCCUCAUCACACAAUCACUGCGUUUACAUGGACAUCAAUACUCCAAUUUUAAUACGAUUAAGACAAUACUCUGAUUAAGAGUCUACCAUGUAAACAGAGAUUUUUGAUGACCUUAAUCCAGCUAAAGUCAUAAUCGAAGUAAACACAAAUCGAAUUAAGACAUGUGAAAUAUUCCUAUAAAGUGCAGUACAGACAUGUAAACAUCUUAAUCAAACUAUUACCGUCGUGCAGGAUUUUCUCCACAUUUUGCGAAAGGACACACACACGGCAGCGAUCAACCGUUUGAUGGCAAAUAAAAGAGCUUCAACACUGCCGUCGUCUGUAUGCGCGUAAAUAAUUAACUGCACUUGAAGCUUUCAUAAAAUUAAAAAUGAAACACCCAAAGCUGUACAUGGCAUCAUCACGAAGACGAACUAUAGGUUUAUACGUGAAAUUCUGGAGGGACGUCGGAUAGCGUCGCGUGGUGACGUAAUGACGUGUGCCAUUAAUCGAUUUAUGUACUAUAACAUGUAAAACAGGAACAUGAAAGGAUUAUUCUAAAAGCAACUCAUGUAAACACCUUAAUCAUAAUAUUGUCUUAUUCAGAAUAAGGUAAAUAAUUAGAUUACUGAUGUCCAUGUAAACGUAGUCACUGAUAGAUAACCUUCCACGCUGCGAUGACUGGAAGAAGUUGGGGUCAAACCUUAUCAUACGAUUAAUUUGCGUAAAAAAAAUAUUAAUGCGUUAAAUUUCUUUGAUUAAUCGUACACGUUAAUGUUGACACCCCUAAAAUAAAUAUAAAACUAUAUAGCAACAAAUUAUAUAACAGCAAAACACACAACCAUAAUGUAAAAACCACACCAAUAAAAAUGACAAUUCAGAUCAAAUAUGAAGUUAACUGAGGCGCAAUGGAACGACAAAUGCUGAUCACGAUGAGUCCAGCGUGGUGACGGCAAUCAAGCACAGCAGUUAUACAGUAUGUACUGCACACCAAUCUCAGCACUAACAAUAAAUAAGCAGCAAAAAUAAAAAUAAAUUUGUAUUGCACAAGAAAAGUCCCUUAUUGCCCAUGAAAUGAACAUGUAUUGCACAUGCGUGACCCUUGAAUGACCCAGCACUUAUAAAGAGGAGUUAUACAGCCUGAUGGCCGCAGGGAUAAAAGAUCUUCUAAAGCGCUCCAAGGAACACUUUUGUAAAUACCCCAAACCAUAAACACACAUCUGUAUGAUAAAGCAGCUGUUUUUAGAUCAUCCACUCAUCCUAUAAUAUCGUAAGUAUUUUAAAACUGUGUCAAUAACUUUGGAAAGAAUGUAAUGAAGAUUAAAACAACAUCAUUUUCAAUUAACUGACAGGACACUUUCUUUAUGACACAGUUUUGGUUUUCAUUUAGUUCAUACUCAACAAAGGAGCAAAAUUUAGGAGGAUGCUGACAG